UCCCUUCUGGGUUUCUCGGCUUUCUUCUUCAAUUCUUGGGGAAAGAUGGGUGCGAGUUGAGGACCCAUUUGGCUUCUGUUCGUGGUGGGGCCUGGGAAUUUCAAGACAAGGUUUAGUUAUUGUUUGGGUUCUUGCUGGAUUUGGAGUCCUGUGCCGGAUUAAGAGAUUUGUUCAUAUGAGCAAAUCUUGGUGAGUUACAGGAAUUCCACAAG
rnacentral:misc_RNA from 1 species